UAUAUGUAUAAGUAUUUAUAAAAUGUAAUAGAAUAAUAAGAGGAAGAAAAAUAGGAGUUUAUUAUAAUUAAAAUAAUCUUCAGCAAAAUUACCUCUUAUUAAAUUUGUCUUCCUAAUAGAUUUUAAUUCAUUACACUCUUGUUAUAGUAGUUCGUAUAGUUUAAAUACUACAAUUUAUCUGAUUUCUUAUUUUAGAAGACUGCAGUGGAGUCUAUUUUAGAACAAGUGUGUAUUGUUCUUACCCAGGCCCAACCUACCCCCAAAGAACCUUGUCCAAAAUACCCCUGCAUCGUUUUUUAUAUUUACAUGAAAGUGAUUAACUUAUGUUAAGACAGACAUGUAAACAUGUGAAAUAUCCCAUCAAUUUCUAUUCUGAUCUUUCAAGGUACAAAGUUUUAUCUAAGUAAAACAUCAUGACUUAAAUGGUACAACUUAACUGAUUGUUUUCCCUUUAAAAACCGAGCCAAUAGAUUCCUUUCUUACUAUCUAAUAAGUAAAUAGUAAAAGUAAUUUGAUUAAUUUUUUUGACUUUUG
rnacentral:lncRNA from 1 species